UACGUAGGGUCCGAGCGUUGUCCGGAAUUAUUGGGCGUAAAGGGCUCGUAGGCGGUCUGUUGCGUCGGGAGUGAAAACUUACAGCUUAACUGUGAGCGUGCUUCCGAUACGGGCAGACUAGAGUUCGGCAGGGGAGACUGGAAUUCCUGGUGUAGCGGUGAAAUGCGCAGAUAUCAGGAGGAACACCGGUGGCGAAGGCGGGUCUCUGGGCCGAUACUGACGCUGAGGAGCGAAAGCGUGGGGAGCGAACAGG
rnacentral:rRNA from 1 species